rnacentral:rRNA from 1 species
CUUGCUUCUCUUGAGAGCGGCGGACGGGUGAGUAAUGCCUAGGAAUCUGCCUGGUAGUGGGGGAUAACGUUCGGAAACGGACGCUAAUACCGCAUACGUCCUACGGGAGAAAGCAGGGGACCUUCGGGCCUUGCGCUAUCAGAUGAGCCUAGGUCGGAUUAGCUAGUUGGUGGGGUAAUGGCUCACCAAGGCGACGAUCCGUAACUGGUCUGAGAGGAUGAUCAGUCACACUGGAACUGAGACACGGUCCAGACUCCUACGGGAGGCAGCAGUGGGGAAUAUUGGACAAUGGGCGAAAGCCUGAUCCAGCCAUGCCGCGUGUGUGAAGAAGGUCUUCGGAUUGUAAAGCACUUUAAGUUGGGAGGAAGGGUUGUAGAUUAAUACUCUGCAAUUUUGACGUUACCGACAGAAUAAGCACCGGCUAACUCUGUGCCAGCAGCCGCGGUAAUACAGAGGGUGCAAGCGUUAAUCGGAAUUACUGGGCGUAAAGCGCGCGUAGGUGGUUUGUUAAGUUGGAUGUGAAAUCCCCGGGCUCAACCUGGGAACUGCAUUCAAAACUGACUGACUAGAGUAUGGUAGAGGGUGGUGGAAUUUCCUGUGUAGCGGUGAAAUGCGUAGAUAUAGGAAGGAACACCAGUGGCGAAAGCGACCACCUGGACUAAUACUGACACUGAGGUGCGAAAGCGUGGGGAGCAAACAGGAUUAGAUACCCUGGUAGUCCACGCCGUAAACGAUGUCAACUAGCCGUUGGAAGCCUUGAGCUUUUAGUGGCGCAGCUAACGCAUUAAGUUGACCGCUGGGGAGUACGGCCGCAAGGUUAAA